UAUGUACUCCCUCCGUCCGGAAAUACUUGUCAUCAAAAUGGAUAAAAUGGGAUGUAUCUAGAUGUAUUUUAAUUCUAAAUACAUCUCUUUUUGUCCAUUUUGAUGACAAGUAUUUUCGGACGGAGGGAGUAGUCC
rnacentral:pre_miRNA from 1 species